GAUGAACGCUGGCGGCGUGCCUAAUACAUGCAAGUCGAGCGAACGGACGAGAAGCUUGCUUCUCUGCUGCUAGCGGCGGACGGGUGAGUAACACGUGGAUAACCUACCUAUAAGACUGGGAUAACUUCGUGAAACCGGAGCUAAUACCGGAUAAUAUUUUGUACCGCAUGGUUCAAAAGUAAAAGACGGUCUUGCUGUCACUUAUAGAUGGAUCCGCGCUGCAUUAGCUAGUUGGUAAGGUAACGGCUUACCAAGGCAACGAUGCAUAGCCGACCUGAGAGGGUGAUCGGCCACACUGGAACUGAGACACGGUCCAGACUCCUACGGGAGGCAGCAGUAGGGAAUCUUCGGCAAUGGGCGAAAGCCUGACGGAGCAACGCCGCGUGAGUGAUGAAGGUCUUCGGAUCGUAAAACUCUGUUAUUAGGGAAGAACAUAUGUGUAAGUAACUGUGGACAUCUUGACGGUACCUAAUGAGAAAGCAACGGCUAACUACGUG
rnacentral:rRNA from 1 species